AACGCACCUUGCGCCCUUUGGUAUUCCGAAGGGCAUGCCUGUUUGAGUGUCAUGAAAUCAUCAAUCUCUAAGGUUUCUUAGUGAUUGGACUUGGGUGCUGCCACUGGCUCGCCUUAAAAAUGUUAGCGAGGCAAUUGUGAACCUCUAGCGUAAUAAGUUUCGUUAGACAGCAACUCUUGUUCGCUCCUAAUCGUCUUCGGACAAUCUUUUGACUCUGACCUCAAAUCAGGUAGGACUACCCGCUGAACUUAA
rnacentral:misc_RNA from 1 species